GACGAACGCUGGCGGCGUGCUUAACACAUGCAAGUCGAACGGAAAGGCCCUGCUUUUGUGGGGUGCUCGAGUGGCGAACGGGUGAGUAACACGUGAGUAACCUGCCCUUGACUUUGGGAUAACUUCAGGAAACUGAGGCUAAUACCGGAUAGGAGCUCCUGCUGCAUGGUGGGGGUUGGAAAGUUUCGGCGGUUGGGGAUGGACUCGCGGCUUAUCAGCUUGUUGGUGGGGUAGUGGCUUACCAAGGCUUUGACGGGUAGCCGGCCUGAGAGGGUGACCGGCCACAUUGGGACUGAGAUACGGCCCAGACUCCUAAGGGAGGCAGCAGUGGGGAAUAUUGCACAAUGGGCGGAAGCCUGAUGCAGCAACGCCGCGUGCGGGAUGACGGCCUUCGGGUUGUAAACCGCUUUCGCCUGUGACGAAGCGUGAGUGACGGUAAUGGGUAAAGAAGCACCGGCUAACUACGUG
rnacentral:rRNA from 1 species